rnacentral:rRNA from 1 species
UGCCUCACACGGGGGGAUAACAGUUGGAAACGACCGCUAAUACCGCAUAAGCCAACAGGGGCGCAUGCUCUGGUUGGAAAAGAUUAAUCGGUGUGAGAUGGACCCGCGUCUGAUUAGCCAGUUGGCAGGGUAACGGCCUACCAAAGCGACGAUCAGUAGCCGGCCUGAGAGGGUGAACGGCCACAUUGGGACUGAGACACGGCCCAAACUCCUACGGGAGGCAGCAGUGGGGAAUAUUGCACAAUGGGGGAAACCCUGAUGCAGCGACGCCGCGUGAGUGAAGAAGUAUUUCGGUAUGUAAAGCUCUAUCAGCAGGGAAGAAAAUGACGGUACCUGACUAAGAAGCCCCGGCUAACUACGUGCCAGCAGCCGCGGUAAUACGUAGGGGGCAAGCGUUAUCCGGAUUUACUGGGUGUAAAGGGAGCGUACACGGUGAUGCAAGUCAGAAGUGAAAGCCCGGGGCUCAACUCCGGGACUGCUUUUGAAAACUGUGUAACUGGAGUGCAGGAGAUGUAAGCGGAAUUCCUAGUGUAGCGGUGAAAUGCGUAGAUAUUAGGAGGAACACCAGUGGCGAAGGCGGCUUACUGGACUGUAACUGACG